AAUUUGGCAGCUUUCACAAAUCUGCCUGCCCAACACAAUCCAAAAUUGCAAUGCUUCUUUAAACUUCCACAGACCCUCUGCAUGAUUUUUUUGGUGUUACUUCUACAAAAUGGUCAUUAAAGAGACAUUAUAAACAAGAUGGUGUUGUUUUCUUGUGUUAUUUUCAUGUUUUUGUUGAUUUUAGUGUCAUGAACGUGACAAUUGAGACACACGAAAGUUCCCUAAAAAUAGCAUGCACAUGGCUAAUCUCUAAAUAAAAGUCAAAAGAGGUGGUAGUUGUAAUUUUUUGCGAUGGAAAGUCAAAUAAGUAAAUGUUUUGACAAGUAAAACUAAAUUCCAGACGAAAAGUGAAAAAAUUGUUCAUAAUUUCAAAACAAAUGUUUAGUGCAUUUUUAAAGGUCACGUGGGUCUCCAAACGUGAGGUGACAACAACCCUCAUCAAAGUACAGCAAUUUUGCGUAUCAACUGUUUUUUUGUGUGAAUGUUAUGGAAAUAAGCCUAAAAUUGAUAAGAAAGGGUCAAUUUGUGAUGAGCAACAAAAAUAACGCGUUUUGGUUAAAAAAUCGAGAGCCCGGGUCAUGUGCGUCUCGAUUGUGUCACACCGUAGCGCGCGCAUUCCAAAGAUCGUUCUUUUGUUUCACUGACCGUGGUGCGAUCAAUAUCGGGAUAAAAAAUUCCUCAGACGUCAAGGAAUUGAGGUAGUGGCUCCUGACUUGACCAGAAGACAUAUAUGAGGACAUUGAAGUCCAGUACAUGCACCAAAGAACACAGAUUCCACUUAUUAUACGCUUGACACAGACGACACGUACAUUAUAAACAUACUAGACUUUAAAUGUCAACUCAGUUUCAGUCUUACCCCCUCCAGAAAUCACAGCAAGAGGACAUUAUUUAUUUUACUAUGAUUUUUUUCCUCAUU